rnacentral:rRNA from 1 species
GACGAACGCUGGCGGCGUGCUUAACACAUGCAAGUCGAACGGAAAGGCCCCUUUGGGGGUACUCGAGUGGCGAACGGGUGAGUAACACGUGAGUAACCUGCCCUUGACUUCGGGAUAACUUCAGGAAACUGGGGCUAAUACCGGAUAGGAAUCCUUGCUGCAUGGUGGGGGUUGGAAAGCUUCGGCGGUUUUGGAUGGACUCGCGGCUUAUCAGCUUGUUGGUGGGGUAGUGGCUUACCAAGGCUUUGACGGGUAGCCGGCCUGAGAGGGCGACCGGCCACAUUGGGACUGAGAUACGGCCCAGACUCCUACGGGAGGCAGCAGAGGGGAAUAUUGCACAAUGGGCGGAAGCCUGAUGCAGCAACGCCGCGUGCGGGAUGACGGCCUUCGGGUUGUAAACCGCUUUCAGCAGGGGCGAAGCUUUUGUGACGGUACCUGCAGAAGAAGCACCGGCUAACUACGUG